UUUUUACUGUCAACACGGGAACAAAAAAAAAAAAAAAAAAAAAAAAAAAAAAAAAAAAUCAAGCUGAAAACAAAGUGAAAUACAUCGCGCAGCUUUCUUAACUCGGAAAGGAGAAGGGGAAAUGUAAUGGACAGAGAGCGUGCUGAUCGCAUUCAGACCAAAUCUGUGGUAAACCUCCAGCACCGCGUUAAGCUGCUUCACGUUUGUGCUGGAGGAAAAGAUGCUCCGUAGAAACAAUACGUGCAGCUCAACCCCAGCUAAAACAACUUAUCCCAAGGAAAUUCAGGUUAGAGCACAAUGCAAUGAAUGUAGUUCUGUGCAGACGCGCGUUUUAUAUAUGUGUUUGUGUAUGUCUGUGUACGAGGGAGGGAGGAAAAGCGAGUGUGGGAAAGAGAGAGUAAAUAACGAGGACAAGUAAAAUGGACCGGUAAUAAACAAUUGCAAUUGGGGAUGGCAUGAACUCUGGGCAUUGGAUUAACCUCGAAUGACCUUACCACAAUUGUAUUUAUUUAACCAAUUUCAUAACAGGUUGCUACUGACACACACACACACAAGUUAAUGAUCAACAAUCACUCUUUUUUCCUUUGUUGUUUAGUUUUGGAUAUUUUUUUUUUUUUUUUUUUUUGAAAUUCAGGUUCUUUGUUUUGGUUUUUUUUUAAUCAUGACAAUUUAUAAUGAUUUCGUUUCUCAACACUGAAGUCAAUAUAUGGGAUUUCUUGACGAAGAGUGCAGUGAGGAGGAUAUUAUCUGACUCUACCAUAGCAAGGGGUAAGAGGAAAGGACUGACUUGAUCGUCUCUGAAAAUGCAGAACAGCCCAUGAGAUCUCUCCUUUCCACCAACCGUGUGGAAGAUGCUUGCAGAACAGCCCUGAAAACAAAACAACUUAAUUGAAGGCAGUUCGUGCAACAAUUGUGUCGUGGAAUACCUAACAUUUCUUUAUCUGUAACUAACUUAUUUAAUUUUGGAUAGUUCAAUAAAUGUCAGCUAUGCCAAGCAUACUCCCAUCCGUUCUUACGAUACAUCCUUUGCCCCGUAUCUUGGUACUUAGAGGCGCCAUUUAGCCGUAGCCCAGCAAGGGCUCGGAAACCUAUCGAAGUAACAAGAGAGCUCUUUACUAUUUUGACCACACAAACACAGAUCCAUGGGAAUGGCUUAUGUCCUCCGUGACGCGACUCCAACAGCUACAGACUACAGAAAAUGCGAAGAGAGCUAGAAGAAACUUUCAGGACUCCUCUGCCAGGAGGCUUUUCAAAAUUACUAUUUUCGGGUUUAACCCCGAACGAUUUUUUCUUUUUUUAUUUUCUUAUUUUCAAUUUUUUUUUUUUUUUUUUUUUUUUUUACUCCCCCGCCCUAGCAAGUCUCCAAAUUUCUGCUCCUGGUGUGUGUGUUCGUGCUCACAGCGGGGUGGACCCCACACCGAUCCGAGCGGGUCCCUCCUGCCGUGAGGCGAGCGCAGCUCGGUCCGACCGCGCCUUCACUGCCGGCUCCCAAGGGUCUCUCCUGCCCAGGCGGCUUUCGCCAGCACUUGUGAAAUACAGUAGCUCUGGUUUCUUUCUACUUCAGAUGAGCGAUAUGAAUGGGCUUUGAAAAAUUCGGGAGAGUGUUAUAGGGGUGGUGUAUAAACUACACAGUAAGGAGUCAAAAGGCAGAGGUGCGUUGGCACAAAGGCUGAGGUAAAUGACCCACGGUGCAACCUCGAUUUUAAGUGUUAUUUUGUAAACCGGGGACAAAAGCCUGGAAACUAUUGUUAUUUAUACUUCCACUGGAAUCAGGCUCAAAGUUUAUACCGAAGGUCCCCCUCUAUCUUUUCACUUCUGGGCAUUGACCGUGAACAUUCCAAAUCUCUAGAUUUGGACUAUAGACUGUCGUAUGGCUGUUUUCAGAUUUGAGGAAAGCUCAGGAGAGGAGGUUUCCUUCCCUGGGGCAAGCCUCUCCUGCAGGCGCCGCCGGGGCUCGGUGGGUCCCUCCCCCGCCGGGAGCCGAGGCGGGGGCGCCCCUCUUAACCGGGAGGUCUGUCAUUUCUCGGGUGCCUCGUACCAAAUCGCAGAUGUCAGCCUUUCCCUACGUGUUCGGGCUGCUAAUGCGGGCACUUCACACAACAGAAAUGCUCAGCUUGGGAGCUUUUCCCAGGGCCAGCCGCCGACUUCGUGCUUCGCAUCUGCCUCUGGCAGCACCGGAGCUCCAUGUGGGGGAUCCCAGUGUGCGCAGUAGCCUUUACCGAUAGCAGCAUAUUCCCGUGGGAGCCAAGCACCCGCAGUGCUCUGGCCCCUGCAAACCGGCCGAAGCACAAACUCCGUACAUCUCCACGGGAACACGCUACCCAGGUUCCCGGCUCCAAGCUCCUGCAUGUCUUCCGCAGAGACCUUUUAUCGUCGAAAUUCACACCAUAAAGCCCCUCACCCAGCAGGCCAACGUAUCGCCGACAGAGACGGCCGCGGCCGGGGCCGCAGAAAGGCUUGCCGCCCCUGGGACUCCGAGGUUUCCCCCCGAGACCCGGUGCCUGCGGGGAGGGCGGGGGCCAUGUGCGACUCCUCCCGGGCAGGCCCGCGUGGAGCGGAGCGGAGCGGAGCGGAGCGGAGCGGUGCCCGCCGGCCGUGCCCGGGCCCGAGCGGGCGCCUGCGGCGGGGAGCGAGCGCCAUCCGAACGGCGCCGGCGACAUCUAGUGGCCACGGGCCGCCAGCGCCCGCCGCGCCGCUCCGGCCGGGGACAGCCGUGACCCGCGGCAUCGCCCGGCCGGGGACAGCAGUGACCCACUGCACUGCCCGGCCGGGGACAGCCGCGACCCGCGGCACCGCCCGGCCGGGGACAGCCGUGACCCGCGGCUGCGGCACUGCCCGGCCGGGCCCGGGGCGGGGAACGCGUCCCGCACCCCCGGCCCGCCCGCACGGGCCGCGCCGGCGCUUUCCUAAGCGUCAGGCACCGCUGCGCUCCCCCUCAAACGGCCUAAGGCUUUCUGUGCAGUGUUGGUACCAGUAGAAAACGGGUCAGUUUUACAUUUGCCUACACGGGGCACCGAGAAGAGAAUUACGAGUACUUUCGUCUCCCCCUCUCGCCUCCAAAGGACUUCCGUGAAAAAAAAAAAAUCAGACGCGCAGGAGUGACAGCUCCUGCCACUUUCACCCUGAGAGGUGUCCCGCUGGCAGGCGCCGUCCCUUCUCGCACUGCUGGGGCACCUCCCAGACCUGCGAAGAAGAGAGGAGGGAAAAAAAAAAAAAAAAAAAAAAAGCAGUAUUGCGGAGACACCGCUGGCGAAAGGAGCCUCACUAUUUAAAUCCCAGUGUCAGCUCUCAUUAACAGUUCAAGUCAUCUUUUCCCCGGGGCAGACCUUGUCUGGUCUAUCGACUUAAUGGAAAACAAAACACAUGUUUGUAUUCUAUUAUUGCAGUCUCGUUCCUUGCCUUACGGAGAGCAGGGACAGGCUUCGUCCGCUUAGUGACAGGCUUCCCGAAGCGACAAAGGUUUCCACUCGUUCCUCCCUCCUGCCCUCCCAGGAAAAGAUGAGUAUUCCGACGUCCGUCUCCUGCCCUUUCUCAUGAAUAGGGACUGCAAUAGAAGCCAUAAGAAAAGGCUUUCGCUGAAGCCGCGGUGGCUAAAAAGAGCCCAAGAAAAAUAGUUACUGGUAUGUUCGGUAAAACUUAGCAAGGCACAAUAGUCUCUGCGGGAAGCUUUGGGGGCUAUGUGUGCAGCAGGUGAAGUUCUCAGCUCGGACCCAGCUGCCUGGACCACCGCAUCUCCCAGGAGGCCGGCCGUGAGGAGAUGGGCACGCUAGGCACUAACAAGCGACAGACUGAGAGAGUUUUGAGACAACCAAAACAAAUAAACAAGCUCUCCCAAUCUUCCACUGGGAAGAUGGCUUUGAUAAGGAAGCAGGGAAAGUUUUGAAGAGCUGCAGACAUUUUUGCAAAUAUAUUUUAACUGGUCUAAGUAGCUGAAAUAAAUUGGGUGGUUGUUGG